GGAAUUAAAAAUGACAGUACGUACAAAAGAUUUGGCAUAAACUCAGUACUCUCCCUUUUUUGGCACAGAAAUGAAAGAAGACUAUAGGGUCUGCAGUUGUAUGAGGAAUAUAUCUGGCAGCUUCAUUCAUACGCAAUGUGUGUUGGGACUCUCCAAAAAUGUUGCCCCACCAACGUCUGAUUCACCAAAAAUGCACUACUUUUGGAGG
rnacentral:misc_RNA from 1 species